rnacentral:rRNA from 1 species
AUUGAACGCUGGCGGCAGGCCUAACACAUGCAAGUCGAGCGGAUGAAGGGAGCUUGCUCCUGGAUUCAGCGGCGGACGGGUGAGUAAUGCCUAGGAAUCUGCCUGGUAGUGGGGGAUAACGUCCGGAAACGGGCGCUAAUACCGCAUACGUCCUGAGGGAGAAAGUGGGGGAUCUUCGGACCACACGCUAUCAGAUGAGCCUAGGCCGGAUUAGCUAGUUGGUGGGGUAAAGGCCUACCAAGGCGACGAUCCGUAACUGGUCUGAGAGGAUGAUCAGUCACACUGGAACUGAGACACGGUCCAGACUCCUACGGGAGGCAGCAGUGGGGAAUAUUGGACAAUGGGCGAAAGCCUGAUCCAGCCAUGCCGCGUGUGUGAAGAAGGUCUUCGGAUUGUAAAGCACUUUAAGUUGGGAGGAAGGGCAGUAAGUUAAUACCUUGCUGUUUUGACGUUACCAACAGAAUAAGCACCGGCUAACUUCGUG